ACGAGUCAUCCGAUCCCGGAUGUAGGAAGACUAGUGGCGAACGGGUGCGUAACACGUGAGAAACCUGCCCCGGUCUCUGGAAUAACAGUUGGAAACCGACUGCUAAUACCGGAUGCCGUCGGACCAUCGCAAUGGUGGACCGACAAAAGGGUUACCCGGAUCGGGAGGGUCUCAGCGGUCUAAUCAGAUUGUUGGUGAGAGUAACAGAUCACCAAGGCAUCGGAGGGUAGACUGGUCUGAGAGGAUGAUCAGACACACUUGGGACUGAGACACGGGCCAAACUCCUACCGGGAGGCAGCACUGGGGACAUCUUGCACCAAAUGGGC
rnacentral:rRNA from 1 species